rnacentral:rRNA from 1 species
UGCCAAACAGCUAAUCCAUAAACCUAAAAACAACAAAUCCAUAUAAAUAACCCCAAAAUUUCUCAAUAAAAACCUAAACAAACCAUUUUUCCCCCUUAGUACAGGCGAUAGAAAAGGAUAUAAGGAAUGACAGAAAAAGUACCGCAAGGGAACGCUGAAAGAGAAAUGAAAUAACUCAGUUAAGCCUAUAAAAGCAGAGAAUA